GAUGAACGCUGACAGAAUGCUUAACACAUGCAAGUCUACUUGAUCCUUCGGGUGAUGGUGGCGGACGGGUGAGUAACGCGUAAAGAACUUGCCCUGCAGUCUGGGACAACAUUUGGAAACGAAUGCUAAUACCGGAUAUUAUGUGAGUUUCGCAUGAAAUUCAUAUGAAAGCUAUAUGCGCUGCAGGAGAGCUUUGCGUCCUAUUAGCUAGUUGGUGAGGUAACGGCUCACCAAGGCGAUGAUAGGUAGCCGGCCUGAGAGGGUGAACGGGCCACAAGGGGACUGAGACACGGGCCCUUACUCCUACGGGAGGCAGCAGUGGGGAAUAUUGGACAAUGGACCAAAAGUCUGAUCCAGCAAUUCUGUGUGCACGAUGAAGUUUUUUCGGAAUGUAAAGUGCUUUCAGUUGGGACG
rnacentral:rRNA from 1 species